GUACACGCUGUGACUAGCAUAUCAAUAAGCGGAGGAAAAGAAACUAACAAGGAUUCCCUCAGUAACGGCGAGUGAAGCGGGAAGAGCUCAAAUUUGAAAUCUUGAAAGGUCACCUUUCACGAAUUGUAGUUUAAAGAAGUGUUUUCUGUUACGAUCGUAAUAUAAGUUCUUUGGAAUAGGACAUCACAGAGGGUGAGAAUCCCGUCUAUGAUUGCGAUUUGUAGCUUUGUGAUACACUUUCAAAGAGUCGGGUUGUUUGGGAAUGCAGCCCAAAACGGGGAGGUAAAUUUCUUCUAAGGCUAAAUAUUGGCGAGAGACCGAUAGCGAACAAGUACCGUGAGGGAAAGAUGAAAAGAACUUUGAAAAGAGAGUUAAAUAGUACGUGAAAUUGUCAAAAGGGAAGCGUUUAACACCAGUGUUGUUUUCUGAAAAUCAACCUCUGUUAGCUUUAUGCAUGUUUGUUUAGACCUAAUCAGCUAUCUUUCAUGUUCUAUUGUUUGCAGUGGUGCACUUUUCAGUUUACAGGUCAACAUCAGUUUUUUUUUACCGUAAAAAAGUUAAAGAAAGGUAGCUCAUGGCUCCGGUCGUGAGUGUUAUAGUCUUUUUCCUAUGCGGUAGGAGAGACUGAGGUCUGCAGUGUAGGCUAUUUGGCUAGAUACUCAGGUGCUAUGUGAUACCAUUUCAUAAACAACUUGUUGAUUAUGUUUUGUCUAUUGCAUACUCGCUUGUACUAUCAUACCUACGCUUAGGAUGUUGAGUAGCGACAUACGCAC
rnacentral:rRNA from 1 species